CAGACUAUACUUAAAGUUAAGAGAUUCAUUUACACUGGGUUAAUAUUGUGCAAUUCAAUAUAGUUUGA
rnacentral:tRNA from 1 species